GGCGGUUAUUUUGUAAGUGCUUGAUUUUAAAUGGCAUAAGCGGCCUGCAAAGCCGUCUAGGUCGGUUCGAUUCCGAUCCUCGCCUCCA
rnacentral:tRNA from 1 species